CUAUAAAUAGGUUUGGAUUGGACUAAACCGAUUUGGAUUGUAAACAGGUCGACUCGUUUAACCUAUUUAUUAUUUGGGUUGGGUUCAGAUUUCAUAUAUCUAACAUACUUAACCUGUUUAAUCUGCAUAAAUUUUGGGUUGGUCACGAAUUGGGUUAUUUAAAUGGAUUAGGUAAUGGGUUAGUGGGAUCCUCUCAUGUAGGUUCGCAGCA
rnacentral:lncRNA from 1 species